rnacentral:rRNA from 1 species
CCUACGGGGGGCAGCAGUGGGGAAUAUUGCGCAAUGGGCGAAAGCCUGACGCAGCGACGCCGCGUGAGGGAUGAAGGUCUUCGGAUCGUAAACCUCUGUCAGCAGGGAAGAACGGUCACUGUGCUAAUCAGCAGUGAAUUGACGGUACCUGCAAAGGAAGCACCGGCUAACUCCGUGUCAGCAGCCGCGGUAAUACGGAGGGUGCGAGCGUUAAUCGGAAUUAUUGGGUGUAAAGGGUGCGUAGACGGGAAAACAAGUUAGUUGUGAAAUCCCUCGGCUUAACUGAGGAACUGCAACUAAAACUA